rnacentral:rRNA from 1 species
GAUGAACGCUGGCGGCGUGCCUAAUACAUGCAAGUCGAGCGAACAGACGAGGAGCUUGCUCCUCUGACGUUAGCGGCGGACGGGUGAGUAACACGUGGAUAACCUACCUAUAAGACUGGGAUAACUUCGGGAAACCGGAGCUAAUACCGGAUAAUAUAUUGAACCGCAUGGUUCAAUAGAGAAAGACGGUUUUGCUGUUACUUAUAGAUGGUUCCGGGCCGCAUUAGCUAGUUGGUAAGGUAACGGCUUACCAAGGCAACGAUGCGUAGCCGACCUGAGAGGGUGAUCGGCCACACUGGAACUGAGACACGGUCCAGACUCCUACGGGAGGCAGCAGUAGGGAAUCUUCCGCAAUGGGCGAAAGCCUGACGGAGCAACGCCGCGUGAGUGAUGAAGGUCUUCGGAUCGUAAAACUCUGUUAUUAGGGAAGAACAAAUGUGUAAGUAACUAUGCACGUCUUGACGGUACCUAAUCAGAAAGCCACGGCUAACUACGUG